GCACGGUCCAUCCUUAGUCCAACAUUACAAUACCUAGUUUACUCUAGCUGUUCCUAAAGAUACCAUGACUAAUAAUCAUAACUUGUUUCAUCUACAAACCUUUCUCAGUAUAGGUACAACACAACUCUAUGUUCUGUCCAGGUUUCUGCUCCUUUCCUAUGAACUACAGCAUAAUAUUUAAUUUAUUUCCAAGAUCACAGUAACAUGAAUAUCAGCAGAUGGCAUAAGUUAUCCCGCAAAAAAAAGCAGAUGGCAUAAGUUGGAAUUGUUGCCAUCAGAGUGCAAGUGUGCCAGCUCGGUACCGUCAAAUAAUCAACCAGCGCCAUUAACGAUCACACAUAAAUCCAAAGGAUGAGCACCCGAUUUUUUUGUGCUAGCACGCAUAGCAUCCAGCAGCUUCCAGUCGGUGUACAGCAACAACAAUUGAUUAAAAAAGCAAUAGCAAGCAACAAAUCCCCACUGAACGCCCAGUGACUUCCCCUUCUACUCUUCGCCAUUCAUCUCGUCCUCACCACCCAGCGCCGUUCCGCCUCGAUCUUCCUCCUCCUCUACCUCACCAUCAAGCGCUCCUCCUCCUCCUCCUCUGCAUCCACCUCACCACCCAGCCACUUCCCGGCUGCCAAAGGUGGCGCAAGAAAUUCUGGCAGCAUCGGUGUGUGUGUUUGCUGUUGCGGCUGGGGCGGCGGCGGCCUGCUCAUCGGCUCACGGGGCCGGAGCGGAGUACCGGUGCAGUGGUGGUGGAGCCCCUCCCGGUGGGUGACUGGGAGCGACGGCGGGCUGCAGGGCUGGCAUGCAGUGGCGGCUCGGUUGCUCGCCAGAUCUAGCAGCCGGCCAGCACGCUCGGGGCUGGUUGGACCUAUGGCGGAGGCGAGGGAGGAGGUCUGGUGGUGCUGCUCGUCUGCCGGUGGCGGAAGGAUUCUGGGCGGCUUGGGUGAAAUCACCAAGUUUUCUCUUCCGUGAGCUCUUCUCUGUACCAUCGUUGGCCAUCUCUGUAUGAAUCAAUAUGGCAAAAUUAGCUCGACCUAUCUACUAGGCUGGGCACACCAUGGCUGCACCAAAUUUUUUCUUUAUCUCCAGAUCGGCUCUUCUCCUUCUUUAGGAUUAUUAUAGCUCAAAUGGCAUCUCCAAUUUUUUCCGUGUAUCUUCGGAUCGGCUAAUUUUUUCUAUGUAUCUUCAGAUCAGCCCUCUCUCCUUCUUUAGGAUUAUUAGGACUUAGGGUAAGGCGUAGGCGCUGGGACAUUGGCGAGCGGCGGCAUGGUAAGGGUGCGGCGCCCUAGAGGUGGAAGAUGGGAUUGGAUUGUGGGUCGUGCGGCUAGCCGCCAUCCUCCCAGCAAGGCUAGGACCGGCGGAGGCCGAGCGGCGGACUGAUUUGGUUUGUGGUGGUCGUCGGCUUGCCGGAGAGGGGCGAGGUGGUGACCGUCGACUUGCCGGAGAGGGAGGGGGAGGAGGAGGAGCCGCGGCACGGUCCGUCGGGUGAUGGGGCGCGAUUGUGGCGGUUGAGAGGACAGGAUAAAGAAGGGACGUGCGGCUGGUGUUUUCGCUAGCGAAUCGUUAUUUUACUUAGGUGCGGAUUGCGGGUUGAUUUUAUGUAAACCGAGGGGCUUUUUUGAAAAACUGCCACGACGACGGACGACCGAAACCCUAUUCUUUUUAUUAUUAUAUAUAUA